AUUAUUUCUCUGUAACUACGUUUUAGAUAACAUGACUCAUUCAUUUGGCUCUGCAUAUCUGAAGUUGCAACAAAAGGUUGCUCCGCGUGACAUGACCUUAAAGUUUAGUGUAAACACGAUAGAUAAACCAUCCAGACGAAAUAAAAUAUUGCAGGGAAACUGUGAGCGUGGCUCAUCGUUUAAUCUGUCAACAUUUUUCAUCAUAUUUCUUUCAAUUUUCAUCCCUCAAUGGUUCUGGGAACAAAUCGUGCCUGAUAUUUCCUGAUAGCUUGUCUAAUGCCUUCGAAAUAUCUUAAUUUUUCCGCUCGCAAAAAUUCGUCCAAAUUUGGCCGUCUCUAGCAUAAAUCGGGUCAUUCACAUUUAAGAUUCAUUUAACAUAUAUGGUUAAUUAGUAUAGUAAAGGAACUAGAUUCAAUCACAGUAUAUCUUCAAUGUUAGGGGACUAUAUAAUCACAUAGUGGUAAUAGCACCAUAUUAAUUUUACUUUAAGUUGAUGAUUAUCGUAUAUUCGCUUUAUUUUAAUCAACAUUUUUCAAUUAUCAGAAUUGCAUGGUUAAAAACUUUGCAUUGCGAAAUGCAAUCAAGGGUUGGUCCUUUAUGUAAUCUAAACUGAAGUGUAGGAACAUGUAAUCCAAAUGAUGUAAUCUUAAUUAAACCAAUUUGUCGAU